rnacentral:rRNA from 1 species
AUUGAACGCUGGCGGCAGGCUUAACACAUGCAAGUCGAGCGAGCGGCGGACGGGGGAGUAAUGUCUGGGAAACUGCCUGAUGGAGGGGGAUAACUACUGGAAACGGUAGCUAAUACCGCAUACCAUCAGAUGUGCCCAGAGUGGAUUAGCUAGUAGGUGGGGUAACGGCUCACCUAGGCGACGAUCCCUAGCUGGUCUGCGAGGAUGACCAGCCACACUGGAACUGAGACACGGUCCAGACUCCUACGGGAGGCAGCAGGGGGGAAUAUUGCGCAAUGGGCGCAAGCCUGAUGGAGCCAUGCCGCGUGUGUGAAGAAGGCCUUCGGGUUGUAAAGCACUUUCAUCGGGGAAGCGUUACUCGCAGAGAAAGCACCGGCUAACUCCGUGCCAGCAGCCGCGGUAAUUC